ensembl:lncRNA
AGAAGAUAUUGAACUGCAUCUAAUGUUAAUAUGUCCUUUCUUAAAUUAAACAUCUUUCUUUCCCCCAAGAUUAUGCCUUUAUCAUGUUUUCAUAAUAACCAGAUAUUUUAAUCUCUUAAUAGUGCAUAUCUAAACACUCUUCAAGCCUAGCCUUUUAAAAAUGGUGGCCUUGAUGAGGCCCAUCAGUGUGAGAGGUCUCAGCUGCUCACUGCUCUCUGCUCUGACCAGCUGCUUGAAAGCCCAUAUCUAGCACAGAAAUCUGCUAGUGCUGGUGCUUGAGCAGUGCCCUGGUUUGGCAGUACAGCUGUGGGAUCCACUGGGAAUGAGUCUUGCAUGGUCUCCUAGAACUGGGAGAAGAGAAAUGGCCUGGAGAGACAGGAGAAGCCAGGGGAAGCGCUUGCUGCUGCCCUUUGGGGUGGCUAGCACAACUCUCCCACCCUGCCAGACCCAUUAUCCACUGCCAAACUACUCGGAGCUUGAGAUGCUGGUUCACUUCGGGAGCUACAGGGCCUGGUAAAAUUCGUAUGCUUACAAAGAGUUUAGAGCUUUAUGAAACUGCUGCCAUGGCUUAAUAUGGAACUGAAUUGCACUAUUUCAUAAUUGCCUUGUACCAGGAAGUGGGCAAUAUUUUUCUUCCCAUUAAAUUACAGCGGAAAGUGGCAUCAACCUAUUGGAAAUUUCAGCUUCCACCCACUGAUCCUCCAAGUUAAUUACCAGUAUCAUUGGCUUCAGCUCAGCAAACCACACCUGCUAAGCAAGACAUUGAAAGUAGAUAGUCUUAAAAUUAAAUACGUGCUUAAGCCCUCUUUCUCCUGUCAGUAGUUUUUUGCAUGCACUUGCUGUCACUCUGAAUAGAGACUUACAGAUUUAUACACAUCUGAAGUCUUGCUCUGUUGUGAACUUGCCCCCUAUUUAGCAUCGAAACAGCUAACGCUCAUCCUUAUUUUAAUUUGAAAAACCUUAGCCUGUUUGACUUUUUGCUCUUCUGCUGGCACCAGAGCUGCCUCCAAUGUUUCUCCGUUGGUCGGGAGUGACGAUUGAAAACAGUAGUGUUAAAUUCCCCCACUUGGUGGCACUAACAAAUAACACAACUGCCCUGGAAAACGCGGCUGUAAAACGUGGCCAAGUGGUUGGUGAUAAACGAACCCAGUGGCCCUGAGAAAGGAAGACAUCAAGUGAGCAGUAAUCCCAUAGCUGUUUUGCUAGUCGUAAACGUUGGUAAGUUUUGAGCAUGGAGCAUACCGGCUGGGAUGUAAUUUCUGCACUUGGACAUGCAGAGCAAAUCUCUUCCCUCACCGCUGACUCUGGUGGCAGGUGCUCUGCACUUCUCUCACGUUUGCGGCUUGCUGAAGAAUGAGAUGUACCUAGGAGGGUUUUUGUUGGAAGUUUAGGAGGAGGAAGCCACAAAGCCUUCGCUUCUGGUGCCUCAUUUCAGGCACCACUGGAGAGUUUCUCUUGGACAAGGAGAUUUGCAUGAAUCUCCCUGGGGAGCCCCCCAGUGUAAAUAUUAUUGCCUGCUUGGGAGAAGAGACGCGGCAGAGCCAUGUAAGGAAUAAACUUGCUCCAGGGGGAAGACUUGACUGACUU